rnacentral:misc_RNA from 1 species
AAAAUGCGAUAAGUAAUGUGAAUUGCAGAAUUCAGUGAAUCAUCGAAUCUUUGAACGCACAUUGCGCCCGCCAGUAUUCUGGCGGGCAUGCCUGUUCGAGCGUCAUUUCAACCAUCAAGCCCCCGGGUUUGGUGUUGGGGAUCGGGCUGCGGUUCUACCGCGUCCCGGCCCCGAAAUCUAGUGGCGGUCUCGCUGCAGCCUCCAUUGCGUAGUAGCUAACACCUCGCAACUGGAACGCGGCGCGGCCAAGCCGUUAAACCCCCAACUUCUGAAUGUUGACCUCGGAUCAGGUAGGAAUACCCGCUGAACUUAAGC